AGUGAACGCUGGCGGUAGGCCUAACACAUGCAAGUCGAACGGCAGCACAGGAGAGCUUGCUCUCUGGGUGGCGAGUGGCGGACGGGUGAGGAAUACAUCGGAAUCUACUCUGUCAUGGGGGAUAACGUAGGGAAACUUACGCUAAUACCGCAUACGACCUACGGGUGAAAGCAGGGGACCUUCGGGCCUUGCGCGAUUGAAUGAGCCGAUGUCGGAUUAGCUAGUUGGCGGGGUAAAGGCCCACCAAGGCGACGAUCCGUAGCUGGUCUGAGAGGCUGAUCAGCCACACUGGAACUGAGACACGGACCAGACUCCUACGGGAGGCAGCAGUGGGGAAUAUUGGACAAUGGGCGCAAGCCUGAUCCAGCCAUACCGCGUGGGUGAAGAAGGCCUUCGGGUUGUAAAGCCCUUUUGUUGGGAAAGAAAUCCAGCUGGCUAAUACCCGGUUGGGAUGACGGUACCCAAAGAAUAAGCACCGGCUAACUUCGUGCCAGCAGCCGCCGUAA
rnacentral:rRNA from 1 species